AGCCUGCACAAUAAUAAUUUCCCUAGAAUUUAAGGGCUUAUUCUCCAGUUGUUCUAACUCAGCUCUAUUAAUAUCACUGGAGUUACAUUAGUUUGCCCUGACUAAUAUCCUUUAGUUAUGCAGACAAGCAAAUAAAAUUACUUUAGCUGUUCUUUUAAAGUCAUUCCCAAACACCAUCUGAGAGGCUCCCUCGGUACAAAAAACAAACCCCAAGCACAGGACCCCGACACAGCCCUGGACUGGCUGCACAUUCCAUAUUGAGGGUCAACAGGAGUUCCACAAGGAUACCCUCGGUCACUGCUUCCUCACAGCCACUUCAGAGGGAGGGGAAGAAAGGGUUUGAAAAACAUUCCAGAUUUCAGCCGAGUUUCUGUAGCUGUGCAGACACAGGAGUCGCUGAAAUGUCCGGAGGGACAGCCCCAGCAAGCCUGUGACCUUCUAUGACAAACCGGACUAUGGCAUUUCAGAAGGGAUUUAGCUGGGAUUGUUAAACAUGUGCCAAAGAGAGAACUGCUUCUUGGAUUUUUUCAAUCAAGGAGCACUAUAUUUGGACUGGAAACAGCCUGUGGAUGAGCAGGAAUAACCAUUAGAAGGCAAGUGAAAAGUUUCAAGCAGAUACUACGGUCAAGGAAGAAACAACGCGAAGGUAUCUGGGCAAGUUUCCAUACUGACUGAAGCAACACUUUUCCCAUGACAUCAGACUCAAAACAACCAAUAUAUUAUAGUCCAUAUGUUGAUUAAGGAAAGCCCAAGCCGUGCAGAGCCAUGCACCAGCCUUCAGAACAGCGGCUGAAGAAAAGCUGGAUCGCUUGCAAGCCAUGGGAGUUAAUCAAACAAAUAAAAAGCCUCAGGUUUUCAGGAUAAGGCACCUGGGUCAGACUUCUCAGCACGAUGAGGUUGUGAAUCCUGAGUGUGAAGAAAGAAGAAGGGAACCCAGCCAGACCCAAGUGGGAAGAAACAUUCUGAACCUGGUGACAGGGACUUGUGUGCUAGACUGACAGAAUUUAUCGAGUCUUAUCCUGAAAAUUGUUGCCCCUCAGUUCUCUUGCUGUUCUUUGAGACAUGUUCCUGCAGGAGAAUAUUUUGUACCAACUGAUGAGCUCAUGUUGAGAGCAGCCCUCAACAAAAUUUCCAGAUGGCAUAUGAAUUAUAACCUUCUAUCAUGGACUUAACAAGCCGUGGGCUGCUGGUAGUUGUCACUUCCAGGUUUCAGUGUUGUUUAUAUGCCACUAAUAAAACCUGCUGUUCUUCUUAAUAACA
rnacentral:lncRNA from 1 species